AGGAGGCCGCCGCCCUCAGCCUUGCUGCCGCUCCCCUUUCGGGCCUCAGACCCGAAGUCGCCACGUUUCCGAGACACUCCCCGUCAUCCUCUAAGGAACAACCCUGACUUCUCAACUGCUACAUAAUUAGCCUGUUUUAAAUCCUUCAUGGCAUCUAAUUCUCUUUUAAAUUAUCUUGUUUACUUGUCAGUUUGUCUAUUGUGGGUCUCCUCCCAGAAUAAACAUACCAUAAAAUGAUGAAUGUGUCAGCAUCAGGGACUAAAACAAAGCAUACAAAGCAUGUGACUUAAAAACAUUUACUGAAAAGAUUAAGGAAUUUAUUUCCCUCAUGCUUUCUAUCUGUUGGCCCUAAAAACCUAGAUAUUACUUAACUGCAUUUAACUGAUAACUGAUAGCUUAUAUCAUUGUUACAUCUUCCCUUAGAACAUAAUCUCAGAUGUGUCAAGAAUUCUUAUAUAAUGCCUCCACUUCAAGUGCCCAUUUUUUAUUUAAACACAUAUAUUUAGCAAGAGUUAUUGCUCACAAUGUUUUCCUUUUUUCCUUAUUUCCUCUAUCUUGAAAUCUGUUCUGAAUUGUCGUUUGAUUAAAUUAUGUGCCUUAGUAUUCUCUUCAGAUAGGAUUCAUGACACAUGCUAAGUCCUCCCACGUACAAAAAUGCUACCAUUUUACCCUCAUACGUGGAUGAUAUCUUAGCUGCACAUAAGAUUCUUAGGUCACCAGCCUGUCCUUUCUGGGUAUGGAUGUUUUCUCACUGCCUUCUAACCCUUUGUAUUAUAGGUGAGAAAGUGGACCGCAACAUUAGAAUAAGUCUAUUUUCUUUGCAAGUAAUAUAUUUUUCUUUGCAAAGAGUGUACCCUUUUUCUCUUCAGCUUUGAAAGUCAAGACUUGCACUUAGAACAGCCAGGCUGACUCUGGCUAAAGACAAAGGAGCUCGCGAGUGCGGACGUGGAAGGGCCGUGUGCGAUGCACGCCACCAGGGUUUGACACCUGGGAGCAUCACGUGGCGCCCUGCUGAAGCGCAGAGGACGCAGGAAUCACCAAAUAUACUCUUAUGGGCAAAAAUGCUUAAAAUGCAACUCUUGGCAGUACCAUGCUUGGCUCUAAGGUGGUGGUGACCAUGAGAAGAAACUCCGUUCUCCUUGCUAACGGAGAUGAUUCCAGACUAUGGAAAUGAUGUUAGACAAGCAAAUUCAAG